GUACCGUUCGAAUAGGGCGGUACCUUGACGGUACCUAACCAGAAAGCCACGGCUAACUACGUGCCAGCAGCCGCGGUAAUACGUAGGUGGCAAGCGUUGUCCGGAAUUAUUGGGCGUAAAGGGCUCGCAGGCGGUUUCUUAAGUCUGAUGUGAAAGCCCCCGGCUCAACCGGGGAGGGUCAUUGGAAACUGGGGAACUUGAGUGCAGAAGAGGAGAGUGGAAUUCCACGUGUAGCGGUGAAAUGCGUAAAGAUGUGGAGGAACACCAGUGGCGAAGGCGACUCUCUGGUCUGUAACUGACGCUGAGGAGCGAAAGCGUGGGGAGCGAACAGGAUUAAAUACCCUGGUAGUCCACGCCGUAAACGAUGAGUGCUAAGUGUUAGGGGGUUUCCGCCCCUUAGUGCUGCAGCUAACGCAUUAAGCACUCCGCCUGGGGAGUACGGUCGCAAGACUGAAACUCAAAGGAAUUGACGGGGGCCCGCACAAGCGGUGGAGCAUGUGGUUUAAUUCGAAGCAACGCAAAAAACCUUACCAGGUCUUGACAUCCUCUGACAAUCCUAGAGAUAGGACGUCCCCUUCGGGGGCAGAGUGACAGGUGGUGCAUGGUUGUCGUCAGCUCGUGUCGUGAGAUGUUGGGUUAAGUCCCGCAACGAGCGCAACCCUUGAUUUUAGUUGCCAGCAUUCAGUUGGGCACUCUAAGGUGACUGCCGGUGACAAACCGGAGGAAGGUGGGGAUGACGUCAAAUCAUCAUGCCCCUUAUGACCUGGGCUACACACGUGCUACAAUGGACAGAACAAAGGGCAGCGAAACCGCGAGGUUAAGCCAAUCCCACAAAUCUGUUCUCAGUUCGGAUCGCAGUCUGCAACUCGACUGCGUGA
rnacentral:rRNA from 1 species